CCUACGGGAGGCUGCAGUGGGGAAUAUUGGGCAAUGGGCGCAAGCCUGACCCAGCAACGCCGCGUGAAGGAAGAAGGCUUUCGGGUUGUAAACUUCUUUUGACAGGGAAGAGUAGAAGACGGUACCUGUCGAAUAAGCCACGGCUAACUACGUGCCAGCAGCCGCGGUAAUACGUAGGUGGCAAGCGUUGUCCGGCUUUACUGGGUGGAAAGGGCGUGUAGCCGGGUUGACAAGUCAGAUGUGAAAUCCGGCGGCUUAACCGCAGAACUGCAUUUGAAACUGUUGAUCUUGAGUACUGGUGAGGCAGACGGAAUUCCUAGUGUAGCGGUGAAAUGCGUAGAUAUUAGGAGGAACACCAGUGGCGAAGGCGGUCUUCUGGACAGCAACUGACGGUGAGGCGCGAAAGCGUGGGGAGCAAACAGGAUUAGAUACCCUUGUAGUC
rnacentral:rRNA from 1 species